rnacentral:rRNA from 1 species
GUGGGGAAUCUUGCGCAAUGGGCGAAAGCCUGACGCAGCCAUGCCGCGUGAAUGAUGAAGGUCUUAGGAUUGUAAAAUUCUUUCACCGGGGACGAUAAUGACGGUACCCGGAGAAGAAGCUCCGGCUAACUUCGUGCCAGCAGCCGCGGUAAUACGAAGGGGGCUAGCGUUGCUCGGAUUUACUGGGCGUAAAGGGCGCGUAGGCGGACAUUUAAGUCAGGGGUGAAAUCCCGGGGCUCAACCUCGGAACUGCCUUUGAUACUGGGUGUCUUGAGUAUGAGAGAGGUGUGUGGAACUCCGAGUGUAGAGGUGAAAUUCGUAGAUAUUCGGAAGAACACCAGUGGCGAAGGCGACACACUGGCUCAUUACUGACGCUGAGGCGCGAAAGCGUGGGGAGCAAACAGGAUUAGAAACCCUAGUAGUCC